UGGUAGUUUGGUUCUGGUUACCUUUGUUUGGCUAUUAGUUUGGUCGAUUAACACAUGGCAGUUUAUGCGGGGAAUGCGUAUACCGGUUUCCCCCUGUGGGAAGGUUUAAGAUUGUCUUUUUGUGGGGGGAUUCACGUUUGUAUAAUCAGAGAAACUCGAUAACUAUUAAUAGUAUAAUUCAUACCUCCAGUGGAUAGAUUUUAACUAUGAGCGUAAGCUUGAUUAAGCUAUUGUUUAUUAGAGGAGUCCAACCAGGUGCCAGCAGUCGCGGUUAAACCUGAGUAACUCAAGUUAAAUGGGACAGUGUAAAAGGUGGUUAGACAGUCUGCUUUGUAUUUUUAUUAAAAACAAACGUAAUUUUUGAAAAAAGAAGAUCGACCCGAGGAAGUAGGGGUGCAAUCUUAUGUAUUUCCUUGAGGGAAGGGGCACAUUCUUCUUUAGGCUGAGUCCACGGAACCGGUUAACUGAAGACAUGGAUUAGAUACCCAUUUAUUGCCGAUGUAAACUUUGCUUUUCAGUGCGGCUGCUUGGGUACUACGAGCGAGUGCUUAAAACUCAAAGAACUUGGCGGCUUGUUAACUACCUAGGGGAAUAUGCGCCUUAAUCCGAUGAUCCCCGUUAUAUCUUACUGAGUCUUGAAAAAGUGCAGCUGGUGUAUUGCCGUUGUCAGCUUGUUGUUCGAGCAAAGAGAAACAGGCUUAAUGGAUCCCGGUGAUAAUUUUCACGGGAAUCCAUGAAUUCAGGUCGUAAUACUGCCUAUGGCUCAAGGGAGCGGGUGUUACAGUUCAUAUUUGGAAUUACGGAUCCUUAUUGUGGAAUCUUGAGGUGAAGGUGAACUUAGGAGUAAGGAUAGAUUAAUGUGCUUUCCUGAACAUGAAUCUAACUCGUGUACAAACUGCCCGUCGCUCUCGGCGAGAGCUGAGAUAAGUCGUAACAAGGUAGGGGUACUGGAAGGUGCGCCCUGA
rnacentral:rRNA from 1 species